CUACGGGCCGCUGCAGUGGGGAAUUUUGGACAAUGGGCGAAAGCCUGAUCCAGCAACGCCGCGUGAAGGAUGAAGGCUUUCGGGUUGUAAACUUCUUUUAGGAGGGACGAAAAAAAUGACGGUACCUCCAGAAAAAGCCACGGCUAACUACGUGCCAGCAGCCGCGGUAAUACGUAGGUGGCGAGCGUUACUCGGAAUUACUAGGCGUAAAGCGCAUGUAGGCGGUUGGAUAAGUCUAUGGUGAAAUCUCCCGGCUCAACUGGGAGGGGUCCAUGGAAACUGUCCGGCUUGAGUGUGGGAUGGGAAGACGGAAUUCCUGGUGUAGCGGUGAAAUGCGUAGAUAUCAGGAGGAACACCGAUGGCGAAAGCGGUCUUCUGGCCCAAUACUGACGCUCAGAUGCGAAAGCUAGGGGAGCAAACAGGAUUAGAUACCCCUGUAGUC
rnacentral:rRNA from 1 species